rnacentral:rRNA from 1 species
UACGAAGGGGGCUAGCGUUGUUCGGAAUCACUGGGCGUAAAGCGCACGUAGGCGGAUUUGCCAGUCAGGGGUGAAAUCCCGGGGCUCAACCUCGGAACUGCCUUUGAUACAGCAAGUCUUGAGUUCGAGAGAGGUGGGUGGAAUUCCUAGUGUAGAGGUGAAAUUCGUAGAUAUUAGGAAGAACACCGGUGGCGAAGGCGGCCCACUGGCUCGACACUGACGCUGAGGUGCGAAAGCGUGGGGAGCAAACAGGG